UGUGGAGAAAGAUGGCGGAACAGAAACGAGACUUGCCGAAAAAGUUUAAGAAUAUGACAGCAGAUCAACGAGUGGAAGCGAUGAUCGAGUCGGGGAUGUUGUAAUGGAAC
rnacentral:ribozyme from 1 species